CAACUGGAGAGUUUGAUCCUGGCUCAGAACGAACGCUGGUGGCGUGCUUAACACAUGCAAGUCGAACGAGAACGUUUCCUUCGGGAAAUUAGUAAAGUGGCGCAAGGGUGAGUAACACGUGAAUAAUCUGCCCUCGAGAUCGGGAUAACAUGGUGAAAACUAUGCUAAUACCGGAUAAGACCACAUUUCGCAAGAAAU
rnacentral:rRNA from 1 species